GACGAACCGUGCGAACGUUAAUCGGAUUCAUUGGGCUUAAAGGGCGCGUAGGCGGCGGCGUAAGUUCGUGGUGAAAUCCCAUCGGCUCAACCGUGGAAUCGCUUCGAAUACUGCGUCGCUCGAGGGAGAUAGGGGACCGCAGAACUGCCGGUGGAGCGGUGAAAUGUGUUGAUAUCGGCGGGAAUGCCAGUGCCGAAAGGGGCGGUCUGGACCUCUUCUGACGCUGAGGCGCGGAAAGCUAGGGGAGCGAAC
rnacentral:rRNA from 1 species